rnacentral:lncRNA from 1 species
AUCUUUAACCAUGACAAGUAUAUUAAGGAAUUUUACUAAAAUAAGAUGUAAUAUGUGAAGAAGUAAAGAAUUUCAAGAGAGAUACAGAUAAUAUUUUUUCUUUUUUCUUUUUUAAUUUAUUUUAUGUUUUUUGGCCACACCUGUGGCAUGCAGAACUUCCUAGGCCAGGGAAUCAAACCCUCACCACAGCAGCAACCCUUGUCACAACAGUGACAGCACCGGAUCCUUAACCUUCAGAGCCACCAGGGCACUUCCCAGAUAAUAUUUUUUAAUGAGAUGAAAAAUCCUAACACUGAAAAAUAUAUCUGAAAUUACUUGAUAGGAUUAUCAGUGAGUUGGACAAAAUAGUCAAAAGCAUCAUUAAACUUGAAAACAGGUUGCUAGAAAUCAUCCAAAUAAAAGUGCACUGAAAAAAAAAAUUAAAUAAACAAGUAUCAGUGACUGAUGAAGUAGUAUCAAGUGGUCUAACACAAAUGAAAUUGAGCUCCUAAAAAGCAAGGAGGGAGAGCCUGGGGCAGAAAAAUAUUUGAAAAAAUAUUAGCAAAAGCUUUCCAAAAUUGAUUAAUUACAUUUUAUCCAGGAUGUUUACUUGUUUUCAGUGAAAAGUAGAUUCCAAUAGCCUAGCAUGCCAUGAAUGGAGUUUAGAAGUUAGCAAAAAAGUAAAGUUUUACGUCUACGUGAAUGAGCAGCAAGGCAUUUUAAAGGUGAAUAAAAUAUGGAAAAAUACUUUGCUGGAUGGAACUAUCCUGAACAUUACUGUACUUUUAACAUAAAUGCUGCCUAUCCACUAAACCCCAUAGUACCACCCCAAUCAUUGUAAUACUACAGCAUCCUCCCAGGUUUUCAGAAUCUCUCUCAGUGCAUAGUAUAGCCCUCCAUCCAUCAAGAUUCCCUCUCUCACAUGAUCUGCCACUGCCUCCUUUCCCCAUGCCCCUUCUAACCUCCUUCUGAUGCUCAUGUCUCUCAAACCACACUGGCGUCUUUCCAUCUCAGGGCUUUGGGGAUGGCUUUUCUCACUUCCUAAAUGAUCCUCCCCUCAAAAUCCAUUUAACUGACUCUUCUCCUCCUCGGGUUUGUGUUCGAAUGUCAUUUUCUCAGUAAGACCUGAAAAUGAAACAAAAGAAAACAAAAAACUUGCACAUUCAUUCCCCAUCCCCAGUUUAUUUUUAUCUGUAGCCUCUAUUUGAGUUGCUGUGUAUUUUACUUACUUAAUUUUCUCACGAUCUCACUUUCUUCUCCACUAGAACAUAAGUUCCAGUGAGGAGGGAGGGGAAUUUACCAUUUUUUUCUCUGUAGUUUCUUUAAUACCCUAAAUGAGUAAAAAAUUGCAACUGCUAACAUUUUUCAUGGGGCUGGCAUGUGGGCAACCUUAAUUUAUUCCUAAUAACCCCUAAAUCUUUCAAGACAUUCCUUCAGUUUUUCAUGAAUAAGAGAGUCCCCAAAGUAUUCUACUAAUUUUUACAUUUGUAAGGUUAUGUUUGAGUGUCUUAGCAAAAAGGAUUAGAGCAGUAAAAGCUUCAGCUUUUUAACCAAGGAGAAUAAGAAAUGCGAUAUGGUUGUUUCCAAAGCAACAAAAAGCUUUACCUCAUUAAGUAGACUGAGGGCUCCUCCUUAUUAGAUUGAAAUAUCCAGUCAAAUAAGGAAGGCACCCUCACAAAGAAAAAACACUUAGAGCUGUCAUCACAAAGAAAUUUGCCUAUUCAGUUAUAAGCUAAUUUGUGACAACUUUUUUUCUUUAGGCGCUCAGGCGUCAGGAUGGAUGAUGAACUUUCCAAAAGGAAAAAGGUGGAAAAUCAUCGAAAGUACCAUAAACUCGCUCCCAGCUAAAUAAGUGUUUCCAUGUAGCAGGUGCAGAGUCAAGGGAAAUUAUAUUCCUGUACUCUUUAGCCUACCAACAAACAGCCUAUUAACCUCCUGUCAUAAUCUAGAUUAUUCUUGAAAGCAGAGCCUAAAACAGCAGUAGACACAUUCUAUGAGGAAAUAUGAUCCCGGGGAACAGGAAUGCGACAGAGGGGACCAAACGGAGAAAAGGGAAAGAAAAUCCAAGCAAAAUGAGGUGGUGUUAUUCAGUGGUCCAUGAGAGUUCAUGGCUACUUUGUGCAGCACCUCCCCAGGAUUCUUAUUAAACUUUGUCUCAGAGUUGUCUGCCUCAGGGACAGAAAGGAGAAGCAUUUAUCUCUCAGCAGCUAUCACCUGUGUUCUGAGGGCUACUCUCAUGGGGCUACUACCCCCCCACCCCCACCCCAGGAGAGACCCACUGGUGCCAUUGCAUCACAUGUGCUGCACCAGAGGACAUUUGGAACAGGAAGCUAGAUUCUUGAUGCAUGCCUGAGGUGAGGGUGAAACCUGCCCAGAGCUGUUCACCAGAGCUGUGGCUGGAAUCAGACUGGAAGAGAGUUCAAAAGAGGCAUCUUAGAAGCCUAGCAAAUGUGCUGUUAGCCCUGUCUAAAUCCGUAUUCUCCUUUCUUUCUAUCAUUAGAAUUUCAUUGUCCAGAACAACAUUGGCAGAAGGAUUAAAUAGAAAGAUUAAAUGUAUUUCCUAGAAGCUGUAUGUUAAUAAACGCUAAACCUUGAGUGACAUUUAGAAGAAAAAGUGACACUAAAACUUGGAAAAUUAAAAAAUGAUUCUGAAGAGAAUAAAGAUGAGUAACAUUAAAAAAAAAUUCUACUUGAAACAUUUUACCAUCAGAUAGCAAUAUUAGAUAUCUUCUAAACUCAUGUAAUCUCAGAAGUAAUCAAUGAAUUGUUCAGAGAAAUAAAAUUAACCAUUUCUUAUAUUUCUGUGAGCCUUAUAGAUCAGUAUCAUUAAUUUUUCCUAAAAUACUGUUUUCUACUGUCACGUAGCACUCGAGAUAACAGAGAUUACAGCUAAUGAAGGGAGAAUUGAUAGAUGUACAGGAAGGAAAAAUAGUGGGAUAAUUUCCAUAACAUAAAUAGCUGUUAUUAAUAUUGGUUGGAAUCAGGGAGGCAGAAGAACUACACAUGGUGACUUGUUUCCCCUUUGAAGUUUUAUUUUUACCAGAAAUAAUUUUCUCCCUGCCUGUACCCGUGAGACAUCAUAAUCAUCAUCUCGUAUUUGGUCUGGAAUUCCCACCUUUGAGUCAUUUAAUAUGGAUUGAGCUUCUACUAUUUCCUACAUAUUGGCACAGUGCAUAUAUGAAAGACAGGCUGUAAAACAUCUCCAAACAUUUCAGAAUACAUACUCUUAAAGUACAAUCAGAACAUUUACCAAAACUGACCAUGUGAUUGAUCACAAAUCAUCUGAACAAAUUUCAAAAGACUGAAACCCUAUAAGAAAAGUUUGCAAAAGACUAGCAAUCAGUGUUUCAAGAAGCUAGGAAGAUAGAUGUGUGAAGUAGCUUUUCAGACCUUGGACAACUGGCAGCAAAGGACCAAUCCCUGGCAGGUGAAACAGGGUGAUCCUCCCAUUGCCUCUGGAUCACACUGAAGGAGGAAGAGCUUGAGCAGAGCAGAGCAGUCUUGCUGAGUUGAGGAGACAAAGAUUAGUAUCAAGUGGGACAGAUGUCUUGAAUUUUCAGGGCAGAGUAUCAGCGAGAAAGAAGAUACGUAGAGGAAAAAAAUUCAGAAAUUUAAAUACAGAUCCCUCUCUGUCCAUUACUGAACACUAAACAAUUCCCCAAACUAUUUUAAUUUUCAUCCAGCCACAUUGAAGAGUCCUCAUGGCAAACUCCACACUUUCACUAGGAUCCCAGGAAGGUUACACCUCACUUAAGUAGGGCUAAACUAGCCUUGCAAUAAAAUCUACCAUGGACUUGCUCAAAAAAACAAGCCUCAGUAAUACAAAACUGAUCCUCAGGUUACUUAACUAUCUGCCAAAACCUAGUCCAAAUUUGUUAGUUCAGGUCCUCCAAGAAGCACAUGCAAAUAUGGGAUUAGAUUUACAAGAGAUUUUAUUGAGAAAGGUUGAAAUAGGAAGCCAAAGCAGCAGAGUCUUCAGACUACCUAGCCUGUCUGACCCCUCUGAAAGAGAGGGAGAAGGAAAGAGGGUUGAGUAGCAAAGAGUCUCAGAUGGCAACCCAAUUCCGGGAAAGUUUCAGGUCAGAACUUGCUGCUCAGAGGAGUCCCAUGUUUCACAGGAAUAGGCACGCAUUAGGAUACCUGCUCCAUGGUUGUUCCAGUGAAAACAGCCCAUGGGAAAGUAGCCUCAGCACAAAAAUAAUGGAUGCAGAGAACAGCAGGGGCCCUCAGUCAGUAUGCUCCUGUCUGCAGGAGAUCUGGGUGGUGUACUUUCAUGGCUACCAUGGUCCAUGCCUUGUGCUGCCCAGCUCUCCCCAGGGAGCAAGGCCUCCAUGGUUCCUGUGGGUCUCUCUUCCUGGGGGGAAGCUUAGAAGAUGAAGGUUAAUAUGAUGAACUACAUCCCCUCUCAGGUGAUCUCAGGGCUACAAGUGGUCCUUACCCUCUCCUUUCUCCACUAUCCAUUUUGGAUUCCCAUCACCUUAAUCACCUCAGCAGUUCUUAGUGGUUCACCUGAUCAUGUGAUAUAAACAUUAUCACAUCUAAGGGUCUGAACCCUUAGUAAUCAUUCCCUUCUGAGAUGCCCACAAGUGUCUGUUCACGAUUACAGUAGGGAAAGGGAGCAAUGGGAGAUACCAAGUGGCUCACCUGGGAUCCACACAUAUGCCUCCCCGUUCCACUUUGUGUAAGCAGCUGACCUCCUGCUCAUGAGGGUUGACGAUGCUGUGAAUAUGGUGAUUCCUCAUCUGCGUGCCCCUGGGCACAAGGAGCACAAAGUGCCCUAGUGGCAACCAUUUCUUUAGCUCAAUGGAAACAUUACUAUAGCCCAUGACAAGAAUAUACCUCUCUGGGAACCAAGACUCCAACUUACAGAGGGCAGAGCCACAGGGCAGGAAGCAUGCAUGUUUCCAAUAAGAAGUCAUUGGGAAUACUGUAAAUAAAGCCACUCCUUUUGCCAUUCCAUUUGACUCUCAUAAUCAUCCUAUUGGGGACACAACACCAUGAAGGUCUCUGGUUUAAUGAAUACACUGUAUCCUGAAGGAAGACAACCCAAUAUUUCAGAAUGUUGCCUAAAAACUCAUACUUUAGCUAUGACUUUAGAAGACUGUUUUACACUCUGCAAGGCUGACUACAUGUAUGAGACUGCAGGUGAUGUCUGCAGUAUGUGAUAGGACCAGGAAAUCCCAUGGUCAUGGGCCUACCCUUGUACCUUCAUCACCAUCAAGUGGUCUGAUACUAUGUAAGUGCUUUACAGUAGUCCUGCCUGAGGCUCUGCAGGUAGGAAAGGCAAACCUAUACCUGAACUAGGUUCUAUCCCUGUGAGGAUAAAUUACUAGCUCUUCUCAGAUGGGAGAGGCCUGUUAUAGUCAACUUGCCACCAGAUGACCAGUCUACUUGAGGAACAGUGCCAUGUUGAGGGGUCAGUAACAGUCUCUGUGGCUGACAGAAUGGACCUUCAGAGGCCACAAUAGCUGGAUCAGCCUUGGUAAGUGACGGCCCAUGUGUUUAGCCCAUAUAUAAUUUCCAGCUCUGCCAAGGUAGCUAUUCCAUUCAUGUGCCUGUCAUAGGGUGUCUGAUAACAAAGCCUGACUAACUUCAACUAGACAAAGACAUUUUAUUUGUUUGGUGUUUAAGUUAUCCCUUCCAAAAUGGAUGCUUUCUUGUGGAUGUUAAUGUGUGAGACAAAAAUCUUCACAGUCUGUGUCCACUCCCAUAUGUCCAUCCACAUUCCUCUACACCAGACUUACUUGGCUCCAUUAUCCAGACCUUUUUUCCAUCCAAGCCCCUGAACAAGUCAAGUCAUUAGCCACUGGCCAGUAAACUACGUAUUCUCAUUUAGAACCAGUUCUCCUCUGCAUCAAGUAGAUGACCAGGUAUGCCACUCACAACUCUGCUUAUUAGAAAGGCUUGCGGAGUUCCCGUCGUGGCGCAGUGGUUAACGAAUCCGACUAGGAACCAUGAGGUUGCGGGUUCCAUCCCUGCCCUUGCUCAGCGGGUUAACGAUCCGGCGUCGCCGUGAGCUGUGGUGUAGGUUGCAGACGCGGCUCGGAUCCCGCGUUGCUGUGGCUCUGGCGUAGGCUGGUGGCUACAGCUCUGAUUCAGCCCGUAGCCUGGGAACCUCCAUAUGCCGUGGGAGCGGCCCAAGAAAUAGCAACAAC